UUUUUCUUCCAGAUCUUGUACUGCUCGCUGAUGGCACGCUCCUCCACCGCGUCCUCCAGCACUGCAGUAAGGGAAGGAUGAGCCGAAGGAUCUGGAAAUCAAGUUGGAUUGUAAUAGGUUCCAGAACUAGUACUAGCUUUGGUGAACAAAACCUGUUACAUCUAGAUGUCAAAAUGUUUGCUGACUGCUGCAGAUUGUACUGAAUUUCAAGCUGCAAAUGAGAGGAAAUCCUGUAGCAGUCUUGUGGACUCUUUCAGUAUUCAGGAAUAUAGAGUGUUUUACCUUUGAAGUGGAAUAUGUUUAUUCGGGUUUGAAAUACCAAGAACCACAGUCCUGCACAGAGUGUGCAUUAAUGGACAGGCGUCACAUCAGACAUCUGCGCAGCUUUUUGCUUUGGGAGGCGGAGGCUCAGCAGAGGAACUGUGGAUUCACAGCCUGGGCAUCAUGUAAGGGAAGAAGGAACAGGCAGACACAUCUGCUGAGACCAGACAUCAGCUUGCCCCUCAUUUUUCUGGGAUAACAGCAGCUUAACAGGAAGCCUGAGGAAGUGCCAAAGUAGCUACUGUCUCAGAGGAAAGCGAGAAAUCAGCUGCUGCCACUGAAAUCUUGCAAAUGCUGGGCAACAGAGCUGGUUUGGGAGUUGGUGCCAUACAGGAGGUCAAAGUUUUAUUCAGGAUUCUCAUCUAUUUGUGUUUAGAAUGCAGCAGGACCUUGAUAAUGCCUACUAAGUGAUCUUUGAGCAUAAGACACAGACUGCCAAUGGGUCUUUGACCCUUUCUGCUAACAGGAUCAUGCUUGAUCACUUCAGAAAUUCUUACUAGCAUAGAGAACUUGUGUUAAAAGAGGACAAAAAACAAACCUUUUUUUGGCACAGGUGUUCCUGCCAAGCAAGGGGAAAAGCAAAAUAAGAGACUCCAUGAAAAUUAAUGAAUAUACUGCAUAGCAACUAACAUUUGGCUUAUUGCAUGGAGUAAUGCUGAAAUAAGCAGAGGGCUUACAGCAUUCUGCAAAUUAAUUUUCUCAUGGGAAAGUGAGGGCUAGAAGCACCAUAUAUCUGUGCCAUCAGCUGGGUGAAGCCAUGUCUAACUAAGCUUUACACCAGCAAGUGCUGUGGAACUCUGUGCAAGUGGGCUAUUGGCUGUAUUUCUAGACUUUUUUGAAGAAUGGAAAUAUCUGGGUUUGUGUGCAUGUUGCUUUCCACCAAAAUUGUCCUUUUCUCCCCAAAACAAAGCAGAUAUGGAAAGAAAAAGCAAAGGAAUGCGGGAAAAACACAUCUCUCAUAGCUAAAACAUUCUGUUUCUUGUGAUGUCCUGUUUGCUGAAGGAUGAACAGUGACAGACUUUCUGGGCCAUUUUGAUCUACACAGCUGUAUGAUAAUAGCAUCUGCACUGACCACACCAAUUCAGGAUAUUGAUUUGGAAGGGUUUGACAGAGUUACCAGAGCCAGCUCUUUCUCUGCAUAAGCAAUCGUGCCAUAUAUUUCCACCCAAACUUAUCCAAUUUCACUUUCAAAACUAUUAAUUAUGUUUAACUUGCUGUAUCUAUAUUGGAGAACUCCAUUUUCCCACAAUUACCCAAACCUGAAACUUCUCAAGGAAGUGUUGUGAGAACAGAAUCAAAAUUCCUGAUCCAUUCAGCUCAAGACAAGAGCAAAGUGUUACAUAACUGGAGAUACACAGUCCUAUAGGUUGUUAGUGCAACAAAAGACAGUACAAGACCGUAGGCAGGCAGAACAUAAUUUUAAUUUACAAUUCCCUAAGUAAGUUGAUUUUACCCACUCACACUCUCAUGCCCACAUACUUAAAAGCACUAAGACAUGCAUGCCUGACCAGUUUUGCCAGGAUCACUUGUAUGCCAUGGAAGGCAGUAGCAAAUAGCUUUCAGGUCCUCACUACAUCUCUUGGGUUCCUCUCUAUGGGUGACAACAAAUAGGUUUGGACAGGUUUUUAAACCCCCUAGGCAUCAGCUGUUAUUAAGGGACUUCAUUUUUGCUGAACAACCUUGUUUAUUUUAUCCUCUGUAAAUAUUCAAUAAGAUUUUUGCCUGUUCUAUUUGCUUCUUCAUUUCACAUAUCUUUAUGACUAUGGUCUGUCUUAAUGCUGAGAUAACAGGGAGGGGAAUGGCUCUUCCACUGUGCUGCAGCUUUGCUGCUUUGCUCUGUUCUUUCUUCCAGUGCUGUUGUGGAUUUCCACCCAGACCAAUUCCAGUAUUUCUGUUGUCUAGCUUUAUACACUGUAAUGGCAAAAAAAGCUUUUCCACCUUUUGCUGUUAAGAAACUUGCAAUACAUCUGAGCUUACUUGGCUGAGGAUCCAAGGCUAUGGCCCAGAAAACUUUGAGCUGCAUGCCAGAUCUGCUCUCAAGUGCAUUACCUCAAGGGACAUCAUUUGAGUGUAACUAAUUAUCACUCUGCAGUGAAGUCAACUGAACAUCUUUUUACAUGCCUGGAUACCUGCCUUUGACCUGAGGCUACUACUCCUGCUUUCUAACCAGUAUUCCUCCUAAUAUCCCAAAGAAAAAGGUGGGUGGAUGUCUCACAGCUUAUAUGAAAAUACAAAGCUUAUAUGAAGAAAUUAUACUUUUUAUUGUCAAAACUGAAACUCCCCCUCCCCCCAAACCAAGCAUUCAAACUCAGUUCUUUCAGCAGGUCACUCAGGGUACAAAAACAUUUUAAUGAUUACUAAUGUAAUCCUUGCAAAUACAUAUUUCAAGCUGUUUCUUCUUGCUGCCUACAUUCAGGGGUGCAGAUGGGCUGUGUCAGGUCAGCUGCAGAAUAAAAUUGAACCUUUCUUACAUUUUCCCUAAGUUCUCCAUUUUUAGUGCGUGUGGAAAAAAUUUGGUAAAGACCUUUUAAAAUCUGUACUUCAUUAUUUUCUCCUAAGAUUAGGCACACUAGGGUUUGACACUUUUUCAGUUAUUACAGGUUGUUGACCAUUUCAAACUGACAUUCAUUGUCUCUGAAAAUAAAGAGUAUUCAGUUCAAAUUGCAAAAAAUGUUAGUCACAAGACAGGAAUUGCCAAUAUAAGAGACUUACCUCUGAAAGAUAACCUGGUGGAAAACGUUUUGCCAUCUGGAAUAUGGGAUUUGUUAUCCUGGCUUGAAUCAGUCUAGUGGA